rnacentral:lncRNA from 1 species
AUGAUUCUCGUGCACUUCUCGCCAUGUAUACAUUCCAGGAGUGGGUGAGUGAACCCAAACCUGUACAGAUCGCCAUCAAUCAAUGUGUACUUGCUAGAAUUUUUCUUUACCUUCCUAGCCUCUGCCGGAUCCAGCGGGAGAAGGCCAUCUGCCAGGCACCGCUUGUACUGUGUUAUCCAGGUGUCUGGCUCAUGGGUAGCGCAGACCUG